UUCAUUUUGAAUUAUAGGCAAUAACGAUUGCACUUCACAGGUGCACUAACUGUAACAAUUAUCAAGCUCUCGAAAUUUACAUUUUCAAUGACAGAAGCAUUGCAGGAGACAUAUGCACACUCAUUAAACGUACCCUGUCACUUCUUCUGACAAGUAUAUUCAAAUAUGCAAACACAUUUUUUUUCAACAAAAGUCUGGUUUGUGCUUCAGACCGGAUUUUUCAAGUGAGAUGUUAAAUUACAUACAGAAUACGUGUUUUUCUUUUAAAUACAUAAUGCGUCUGUAAUUUUCUAAAUGGAUGGCAACCCAAACAGAUGAAAAUUGUGGUAGUACCACUAAAGCUCGAUGGAAGCCUUUGAAAAAGGCAUAGCUAACUGACCAGAAAGUUAUCAUUAUUUAUUUAUUUAUUCUUUUACAUAAAAUGCCUCAACAUACGCUAUUUCAUGUUUUACAGAACUAUAACAUCAUAAUCCUGCAAAGACCCUACAGUGAAAUGAGCUUGCUUUACCACAGCUUACCAAAAAAUAUAGGCGAGAGGAAAUGUGAGCCAGUGUGAGAGAGCGUCACACAUCUCUCCAACAUAAGCGACUGCAACGUUUCGGUGGAAAAGGGCCGUGGCUCUAAAAGCGAAGUUGGUGUGUUACAGAGGGGGAUGGCUCGUGAUUGGAGGUCAUGACUCUGGGUUUCUAGUGCCAGGCCCCAGCUGAGGAUAGUACUGCCGGUAGGCUGACAGACUGUCAGAUCACAGGAGAGAGCGG